UUGGGUGAGAGACCUAAAACUGUUCUAGUUUUUUGGGUGAGGAAAAAAUCAAAGAGAAGAGAGGAUUCAUCUAAUUUUUCUUCACCAUCCAGCAUCCUCCUUUAAUCCAUCUUCAACAUUGAAAAGAUUUGAGGUGAGCGAAGAAGGAGAUCAAGUUAGAUCUGCCAUCAGAAGCCGACUGUACGAGCUAGCACUCUUGCAGAGGGCUAAUCAAUCCAAGGGGCUUCGUGUGGACCAUCCAUAGAGGUCGGAUGCUUGUGCAGCUAUGAGCAACC
rnacentral:lncRNA from 1 species